CAGGAUGAACGCUAGCGGCAGGCUUAACACAUGCAAGUCGAGGGGCAUCGGGAGUAGCAAUACUGCCGGCGACCGGCGCAAGGGUGCGUAACGCGUGAGCAACAUGCCCGUAUCAGGGGGAUAAUCCAUGGAAACGUGGUCUAAUACCCCAUAGUAAUUAUGUAAGGCAUCUUAUAUAAUUUAAAGCUUUGGUGGAUACGGAUUGGCUCGCGUGACAUUAGCUAGAUGGUAAGGUAACGGCUUACCAUGGCUACGAUGUCUAGGGGUUCUGAGAGGAAGGUCCCCCCACACUGGAACUGAGACACGGUCCAGACUCCUACGGGAGGCAGCAGUGAGGAAUAUUGGACAAUGGAUGGAAAUCUGAUCCAGCCAUGCCGCGUGCAAGGAAGACGGCCCUAUGGGUUGUAAACUGCUUUUGUAUGGGAGCAAUAAGGGCUACGCGUAGUCCGAUGAGAGUACCAUACGAAUAAGCACCGGCUAACUCCGUGCCAGCCGCGGC
rnacentral:rRNA from 1 species